CUUCCCCGCCGCCCCCUCACCUCCGGAGGAGAGCGCCCGCAGCCGACAGGUCGCUGCCCCGGCCCGGGCAGGCUCCGGCCGCCUCCGCAGGUAUUUCCCUCUGCUGGCCUUUCAAUGUGGACCACCCUCUGUCCUGCUCUACCUAUUCAGGUUUUGUCUUACAUGUGGGCUCUCAGUCCAGUGUAAGGCUGAUGGGUGGGAGCAAAGGUAAAGAAUGAUGUUACGCAGCAGCAGCA